rnacentral:rRNA from 1 species
GAAACCAACAGGGAUUGCCUCAGUAACGGCGAGUGAAGCGGCAAAAGCUCAAAUUUGAAACCCUCGGGAUUGUAAUUUGAAGAUUUGGCAUUGGAGAAAGCUAACCCAAGUUGCUUGGAAUAGUACGUCAUAGAGGGUGACAACCCCGUCUGGCUAACCGUUCUCCAUGUAUUGCCUUAUCAAAGAGUCGAGUUGUUUGGGAAUGCAGCUCAAAGUGGGUGGUAAACUCCAUCUAAAGCUAAAUACUGGUGAGAGACCGAUAGCGAACAAGUACUGUGAAGGAAAGGUGAAAAGAACUUUGAAAAGAGAGUGAAAUAGUAUGUGAAAUUGUUGAUAGGGAAGGAAAUGAGUGGAGAGUGGCCGAGGUUUCAGCCGCCCCUCGUGGGCGGUGUACUGCCGACGCCGAGUCAUCGAUAGCGAGACGAGGGUUACAAAUGGGAGCGCCUUCGGGCGUUCUCCCCUAACCCUCCACAC